rnacentral:rRNA from 1 species
UACGUAGGGUGCAAGCGUUGUCCGGAAUUAUUGGGCGUAAAGGGCUCGUAGGCGGUUUGUCGCGUCUGCUGUGAAAACCUAAGGCUCAACCUUGGGCUUGCAGUGGGUACGGGCAGACUAGAGUGCGGUAGGGGUGACUGGAAUUCCUGGUGUAGCGGUGGAAUGCGCAGAUAUCAGGAGGAACACCGAUGGCGAAGGCAGGUCACUGGGCCGCAACUGACGCUGAGGAGCGAAAGCAUGGGGAGCGAACAGG